rnacentral:rRNA from 1 species
GACGAACGCUGGCGGCGUGCCUAAUACAUGCAAGUCGAGCGGACGGAUGGGAGCUUGCUCCCAGACCGUCAGCGGCGGACGGGUGAGUAACACGUGGGCAACCUGCCUGUAAGACUGGGAUAACUCCGGGAAACCGGGGCUAAUACCGGAUAACUCUUUCCCUCACAUGAGGGAAAGCUGAAAGAUGGCAUCUCGCUAUCACUUACAGAUGGGCCCGCGGCGCAUUAGCUAGUUGGUGAGGUAACGGCUCACCAAGGCGACGAUGCGUAGCCGACCUGAGAGGGUGAUCGGCCACACUGGAACUGAGACACGGCCCAGACUCCUACGGGAGGCAGCAGUGGGGAAUCUUCCGCAAUGGACGAAAGUCUGACGGAGCAACGCCGCGUGAGUGAUGAAGGUUUUCGGAUCGUAAAGCUCUGUUGUCGGGGAAGAACAAGUACCGGAGUAACUGCCGGUACCUUGACGGUACCUGAACAGAAAGCCACGGCUAACUACGUG